UACGUAGGGCGCAAGCGUUGUCCGGAAUUAUUGGGCGUAAAGAGCUCGUAGGCGGUUUGUCGCGUCUGCCGUGAAAACCCGAGGCUUAACCUCGUGGCUUGCGGUGGAUACGGGCAGACUAGAGGUAGGUAGGGGAGAAUGGAAUUCCCGGUGUAGCGGUGAAAUGCGCAGAUAUCGGGAGGAACACCGGUGGCGAAGGCGGUUCUCUGGGCCUUACCUGACGCUGAGGAGCGAAAGCGUGGGGAGCAAACGGG
rnacentral:rRNA from 1 species